GACAGAGGCCUCGAGCGUUAGGCGGAAUCACUGGGCUUAAAGCGUGUGUAGGCGGAUCGUUAAGUGUCUUGUGAAAUCCCGACGGCUCAACCGUGGAACGGCUGGGCAUACGUGGCGAUCGUUGAGCAGCCUAGGGGCGACCGGAACAAACGGUGGAGCGGUGAAAUGCGUAGAUAUCGUUUGGAACGCCGGAUGGUGAAAACAGGUCGCUGGGGGCUUGCUGGACGCGUGAGACACGAAAGCCAGGGGAGCAAACGGGG
rnacentral:rRNA from 1 species